GAGGAAUAAGCAUCGGCUAACUCCGUGCCAGCAGCCGCGGUAAUACGGGGGAUGCAAGCGUUAUCCGAAAUCAUUGGGCGUAAAGCGCCUGUAGGUUGUUUAUUAAGUCUGUUGUUAAAGCCUAGGGCUUAACCCUAGAACAGCAAUGGAAACUGGUAAACUUGAGUAUGGUAGGGGUAGAGGGAAUUUCUAGUGUAGCGGUGAAAUGCGUAGAUAUUAGAAAGAACACCAGUGGCGAAAGCGCUCUACUGGACCAUUACUGACACUCAGAGGCGAAAGCUAGGGUAGCAAAAGGGAUUAGAUACCCCUGUAGUCCUAGCCGUAAACGAUGGAUACUAGAUGUUGCGCUUAUAGUGCAGUAUCGUAGCUAACGCGUUAAGUAUCCCGCCUGGGGAGUACGCUCGCAAGGGUGAAACUCAAAGGAAUUGACGGGGGCCCGCACAAGCGGUGGAGCAUGUGGUUUAAUUCGAUGCAACGCGAAGAACCUUACCAGGGCUUGACAUACUGCGAAUCUCUUUGAAAGAAGAGAGUGCCUUCGGGAAUGCAGAUACAGGUGGUGCAUGGCUGUCGUCAGCUCGUGUCGUGAGAUGUUGGGUUAAGUCCCGCAACGAGCGCAACCCUUGUUUUUAGUUACUAAUUUAUUUAGGUUUUCUAGAAAGACUGCCGGUGACAAACCGGAGGAAGGUGAGGAUGACGUCAAGUCAGCAUGCCCCUUAUGUCCUGGGCCACACACGUGCUACAAUGGUUAAGACAAAGAGUCGCAAAUUCGCAAGGAUAAGCUAAUCUCAUAAACUUAGCCUAAGUUCAGAUUGUAGGCUGCAACUCGCCUACAUGAAG
rnacentral:rRNA from 1 species